rnacentral:rRNA from 1 species
AUUGAACGCUGGCGGCAGGCCUAACACAUGCAAGUCGAGCGGAUGAAGGGAGCUUGCUCCUGGAUUCAGCGGCGGACGGGUGAGUAAUGCCUAGGAAUCUGCCUGGUAGUGGGGGAUAACGUCCGGAAACGGGCGCUAAUACCGCAUACGUCCUGAGGGAGAAAGUGGGGGAUCUUCGGACCUCACGCUAUCAGAUGAGCCUAGGUCGGAUUAGCUAGUUGGUGGGGUAAAGGCCUACCAAGGCGACGAUCCGUAACUGGCCUGAGAGGAUGAUCAGUCACACUGGAACUGAGACACGGUCCAGACUCCUACGGGAGGCAGCAGUGGGGAAUAUUGGACAAUGGGCGAAAGCCUGAUCCAGCCAUACCGCGUGUGUGAAGAAGGUCUUCGGAUUGUAAAGCACUUUAAGUUGGGAGGAAGGGCAGUAAGUUAAUACCUUGCUGUUUUGACGUUACCAACAGAAUAAGCACCGGCUAACUUCGUG